rnacentral:rRNA from 1 species
GAUGAACGCUAGCGGCAGGCUUAAUACAUGCAAGUCGAGGGGUAGCAAGAUUGUAGCAAUACAAUUGUUGACGACCGGCAAACGGGUGCGGAACACGUACACAACCUUCCAAUAAGUGGGGAAUAGCCCAGAGAAAUUUGGAUUAAUACCCCGUAACAUAACGAUGUGGCAUCACAUUGUUAUUAUAGAUUUUUCGCUUAUUGAUGGGUGUGCGGCUGAUUAGAUAGUUGGCGGGGUAACGGCCCACCAAGUCUACGAUCAGUAGCUGAUGUGAGAGAAUGAUCAGCCACACGGGCACUGAGACACGGGCCCGACUCCUACGGGAGGCAGCAGUAAGGAAUAUUGGACAAUGGACGCAAGUCUGAUCCAGCCAUGCCGAGUGAAGGAUUAAGGUCCUCUGGAUUGUAAACUUCUUUUAUAAGGGACGAAAAAAGGUCUUUCUAGAUCGUCUGACGGUACCUUAUGAAUAAGCACCGGCUAACUCCGUGCCAGCCGCCGCCGUAAGAC